rnacentral:lncRNA from 11 species
GUCACUGCUCUGACAGCUGCGUGCUUUAUUGCCGCCCCACUUUUAUUGCUUCGCUUUCUUCCUUUCCUCUCGGUUUUUUUUUUCAAAUGGGGGUGGGCGGGUUAAAAUUUAUAGCUAGCAGAAAUAACUGAUUACUCUUGGCAAAUUAAGUGAAGGGAUCAAUUGUUCCAUAUGGAAAGAGCCAAAGAACUCAGGGCUCUAUUCACGAGGGAAGACUGAUGUGCUAAAGGGCAAAGGAAUGCCACUUUUAUUGUGUGGUAGAGAAUUUUCACAUUUAAGCCCAAAUUCCUAACGAAAGUGUGGUAUUCAAGAGACCUCGCGAGUCACUACACAAGGGCUGGAUAGUCUGCCUGCUUGAGUGGAUGGGAAAUUCCAAAGGACAAAGGUCUACUGUUCAUGUCCUCUUGUCUACAAAGGAGUGUGGGACAACUCUCCAGGAUGGGACUUCACAAGGCACCAGAACAACAUGGAAGCAUACUGCAUCAGUUCCCUCCUACUCUUAUAAAAUGGACAUGGAAGAAGAUAUUUUGCCUAAGAAGAGAGGAUUUAGUUAAGUGUACUUCUGGAUGUGCACAUAACUGUUGGAGAAUGUCAGAGAUCUAUGGUAGUCUCUCAGGAAUGAUCUCUUAAGCAGCAGUUCCAUCAGAUGAUUCCCUUCAGCUCCGUCAGAUGCAUCUUGCAUCAGCCAAGACCUUCUAAACUUUUGCAGUCCUGCUGCCGACUCCAUCUGCCUCCCAUGCAAGGAUGUGGAUAGACAAGCUGUGCCAGACAUAAGGACAACAGUAUUUGGAGGACUGUAAAGCACUCCAGAGUCUCCAAAGCCAAAAAUGUUGUGUGUACUCUUUGAUGUCUUAACUCCUCCUGCAAGGCAAAAGAGAACAAACACAGUCUAUGCAACAAUGACCUUUUGACUCAAAGCAACACAUUCGAAAGAAGCAAGAUAAAGAAUAAAAUGCCUC